rnacentral:rRNA from 1 species
AGUGGCGGACGGGUGAGUAAUACGUAGGUAACCUGCCUUGAAGUGGGGGAUAACCAUUGGAAACGAUGGCUAAUACCGCAUAGUUCUGUACAUACGGGAGUAUGAACAGGUAAAGCUCCGGCGCUUCAAGAGGGGCCUGCGUCCGAUUAGUUAGUUGGUGAGGUAAAGGCUCACCAAGGCGAUGAUCGGUAGCUGGUCUGAGAGGACGAUCAGCCACACGGGAACUGAGACACGGUCCCGACUCCUACGGGGGGCUGCAGUGAGGAAUAUUCGUCAAUGGGGGCAACCCUGAACGAGCAACGCCGCGUGGAGGAUGAAGGCCCUUGGGUUGUAAACUCCUUUUCUGUGGGAAGAGGAAGGACGGUACCACAGGAAUAAGUCACGGCUAACUACGUGCCAGCAGCCGCGGUAAUACGUAGGUGGCAAGCGUUAUCCGGAAUUACUGGGCGUAAAGCGCACGCAGGCGGCUGUCCAAGUCUGACGUGAAAGCUCCUGGCUUAACUGGGAGAGGUCGUUGGAAACUAGAUGGCUUGAGGCGAGGAGAGGGGUGUAGAAUUCCCGGUGUAGUGGUGGAAUGCGUAGAUAUCGGGAGGAAUACCAGUGGCGAAAGCGACACCCUGGCCUUUGCCUGACGCUCAGGUGCGAAAGCGUGGGUAGCGAACGGGAUUAGAUACCCCGGUAGUCCACGCYGUAAACGAUGAAUACUAGGUGUGG